AUUGAACGCUGGCGGCAUGCCUUACACAUGCAAGUCGAACGGCAGCACGGGUGCUUGCACCUGGUGGCGAGUGGCGAACGGGUGAGUAAUACAUCGGAACGUACCUUAUCGUGGGGGAUAACGCAGCGAAAGCUGUGCUAAUACCGCAUACGCCCUGAGGGGGAAAGCGGGGGAUCGCAAGACCUCGCGCGAUUAGAGCGGCCGAUGCCUGAUUAGCUAGUUGGUGGGGUAAAAGCCCACCAAGGCGACGAUCAGUAGCUGGUCUGAGAGGACGAUCAGCCACACUGGGACUGAGACACGGCCCAGACUCCUACGGGAGGCAGCAGUGGGGAAUUUUGGACAAUGGGGGCAACCCUGAUCCAGCAAUGCCGCGUGAGUGAAGAGGGCCUUCGGGUUGUAAAGCUCUUUUGUCAGGGAAGAAACACCGGCUCUAACACAGUCCGGGAAUGACGGUACCUGAAGAAUAAGCACCGGCUAACUACGUG
rnacentral:rRNA from 1 species